rnacentral:rRNA from 1 species
AGUGAACGCUGGCGGCAGGCCUAACACAUGCAAGUCGAACGAACCCUUCGGGGUUAGUGGCGGACGGGUGAGUAACACGUGGGAACGUGCCUUUAGGUUCAGAAUAACUCAGGGAAACUUGUGCUAAUACCGAAUGUGCCCUUCGGGGGAAAGAUUUAUCGCCUUUAGAGCGGCCCGCGUCUGAUUAGCUAGUUGGCGAGGUAAUGGCUCACCAAGGCUACGAUCAGUAGCUGGUCUGAGAGGAUGACCAGCCACAUUGGGACUGAGACACGGCCCAAACUCCUACGGGAGGCAGCAGUGGGGAAUCUUGCGCAAUGGGCGAAAGCCUGACGCAGCCAUGCCGCGUGGAUGAUGAAGGUCUUAGGAUUGUAAAAUCCUUUCACCGGUGAAGAUAAUGACUGUAGCCGGAGAAGAAGCCCCGGCUAACUUCGUGCCAGCCGCCGCAGUAAAAC